rnacentral:RNase_P_RNA from 1 species
GCGAUGAACCAGGUUGCCGCGGGGGGCCGCAGGAAAGUCCGUUUAUUCGGGCAUGAGGUCUUCCCGAGGAAAGUCCGGGCUCCGCAGGGCAUGAUGCCGGGUAAUUCCCGGGCGGAGGGUAUGAAUCUUCCGGCUUAGAGCCGGCGGAUAUUCAUUGGCCUUUCGACAGACAGCGCAACAGAAAGGAUACCGCCCCGGAAGGUUCAGAGGCUUUUAGUCUUGGGAUCUUGCGGGGUAAGGGUGAAACGGCGGGGUAAGAGCCCGCCUCGGCGACGGCAACGCCGCCGGAAAGAUUCCGGUUUAACCGGAAAACGGCAAGCCUCAUCAGGAGCAAAAUCAAGCGGCGUGAAGGGGGCUUCGGUUCCUUUGCCGGCGGCCCGCCGGUCAAACGCGGGUAGAUUGCGGGGUUAUCCCCAAAGGCCAUCCGCAAGGUUCGGCCUAAGAUAGAUGGCGGCCAGGGCCGCGUUCCGCGGCCAUACAGAACCCGGCUUAUGGUUCAUCGUUUUU